GAAGUGAAAAAUGCAUGCUUACAAGUAGUGAAAUAGUUUGGUUCAUUUGUGAGGAUAAAGAUGGAAGCAAUGUUCGUUGGAUCUGAUCCUCGUCUUUAUUUUCAAGUUAAGUAUUUGUUUUCUCAUCUCAAUCGUGCUAAAUCCAUUUGUCUCUCUCUGAUAGCUGUUUAAUUUCUGUUGGUGGGAAAGAUAAAAAUCAGAGAGGGAAUCAAAUGUUUGCAAGAUUUAUUGCAAUGGUACAAAAACAACUUCACCCCAGAAAAUGCUGGAAUCCUUCAUGAUUCCAAGGCGCACCUUCAAUCUCUUCAACGACAAGUAAAGUGAAUAUGCAGAGGCUGUCAACAGUUCUGAAUCAUUAUGCUCUUCAAAACAAGGUGAUAGUAGUUCUUCCAUGGGAAGACCAAAUGCAUUUCCACAGAAUGCGACUGAUGUUGCUUCACCGAAAUCAGAACUCAAUCACUAUUUGACAGAUUCUAAGGUUCAUCCACAUGAAGAGUUUGAUGUCCUGGAAUGGUGGCGUUACAAUUUUCUAACUUAUCCAACAUUAGCUAGGAUUGCUUAUGAUUUCUUAUCAAUACCUAUUUCUACUUGUUAUACUAGUUUUUGUUCUUUGUGGGAUGACAUUGAUGGUAUUUAUAUUACUGGUUUGGAUGUCUGACUUAAAAUGUGCUUGGGUCUGUACAAAAGUCUGGUUGAAUGACUCCGAAAAUAUAUAAUGAAGUGUUGUUGAAAAUUUAUAUUGUAA